rnacentral:lncRNA from 1 species
UGUUAUAUUAUUGUUGUUUACAAGUCUAUUUAUGUCAUGCCUAAUUUUUAACAUCAGUUAUUUACCAUGAAAUAAUAUUGUUAUAGAUUCUCUGCAGGAUGCCUGUCAAAAAGAAAAACUGAAGAAACUUUAAAACUAGAUGAUGAUACUAACUAAAGAAGUUGAAACACCGUUAUUCAUGGUAUCAUAUCUAGGCUUCAGUACUCCAUGUUUGUUAGUUAUGAAAGAUAUGGCAUGGUAUGGCACAUUGCAUGUGUAAAAGUGGAUGAAAGUACUAAAGAAAACGAUAACGAUAAACUUUAAAGUAGAAUUUUGUCAUGCGAUUAUAGUGGCGAUAUGAGAGAACUACUGCGGCAGAAUAUUACU